rnacentral:rRNA from 1 species
GACAGAGGGUGCAAACGUUGUUCGGAAUUACUGGGCGUAAAGCGUGUGUAGGCUGCCAUAUAAGUCGGAUGUGAAGGCCCUGGGCUCAACCCAGGAAGUGCACUCGAUACUGUAUGGCUUGAGUCUCGGAGAGGUUGGCGGAAUUCUCGGUGUAGAGGUGAAAUUCGUAGAUAUCGAGAGGAACACCGGUGGCGAAGGCGGCCAACUGGACGAAGACUGACGCUGAGACACGAAAGCGUGGGGAGCAAACAGG